GAAACGACUGCUAAGACUGGAUAGGAGACAAGAAGGCAUCUUUUUGUUUUUAAAAGACCUAGCAAUAGGUAUGCUUAGGGAGGAGCUUGCGUCACAUUAGUUAGUUGGUGGGGUAAAGGCCUACCAAGACUAUGAUGUGUAGCCGGGCUGAGAGGUUGAACGGCCACAUUGGGACUGAGACACGGCCCAAACUCCUACGGGAGGCAGCAGUAGGGAAUUUUCGGCAAUGGAGGAAACUCUGACCGAGCAACGCCGCGUGAACGAUGAAGUAUUUCGGUACGUAAAGUUCUUUUAUUAGGGAAGAAUAAAUGAUGGAAAAAUCAUUCUGACGGUACCUAAUGAAUAAGCCCCGGCUAACUAUGUGCCAGCAGCCGCGGUAAUACAUAGGGGGCAAGCGUUAUCCGGAAUUAUUGGGCGUAAAGGGUGCGUAGGCGGUUAAAUAAGUUUAUGGUCUAAGUGCAAUGCUUAACAUUGUGAUGCUAUAAAAACUGUUUAGCUAGAGUAAGAUAGAGGCAAGUGGAAUUCCAUGUGUAGUGGUAAAAUGCGUAAAUAUAUGGAGGAACACCAGUAGCGAAGGCGGCUUGCUGGGUCUUUACUGACGCUGAGGCACGAAAGCGUGGGGAGCAAACAGGAUUAGAUACCCUGGUAGUCCACGCCGUAAACGAUGAGUACUAAAUGUUGGGUAAAACCAGUGUUGAAGUUAACACAUUAAGUACUCCGCCUGAGUAGUACGUACGCAAGUAUGAAACUUAAAGGAAUUGACGGGACUCCGCACAAGCGGUGGAUCAUGUUGUUUAAUUCGAAGGUACCCGAAAAACCUCACCAGGUCUUGACAUGCUUCUGCAAAGCUGUAGAAACACAGUGGAGGUUAUCAGUUGCACAGGUGGUGCAUGGUUGUCGUCAGCUCGUGUCGUGAGAUGUUGGGUUAAGUCCCGCAACGAGCGCAACCCUUAUUGUUAGUUGCCAGCACGUAAUGGUGGGGACUUUAGCAAGACUGCCAGUGAUAAAUUGGAGGAAGGUGGGGACGACGUCAAAUCAUCAUGCCCCUUAUGACCUGGGCUACAAACGUGAUACAAUGGCUGUUACAAAGGGUAGCUGAAACGCAAGUUUUUGGCGAAUCUCAAAAAAACAGUCUCAGUUCGGAUUGAAGUCUGCAACUCGACUUCAUGAAGUUGGAAUCGCUAGUAAUCGCGAAUCAGCAUGUCGCGGUGAAUACGUUCUCGGGGUUUGUACACACCGCCCGUCA
rnacentral:rRNA from 1 species